rnacentral:rRNA from 1 species
AGUGAACGCUGGCGGCGUGCUUAACACAUGCAAGUCGAACGAGAACGGGUUAUAGCUUGCUAUAAUUGUCAGCUAAGUGGCGCACGGGUGAGUAAUGUAUAGGUAAUAUGCCUCUUACUAAGGGAUAACAAAUGGAAACGUUUGCUAAUACCUUAUACUCCUUUUAAACAGAAGUUUAAAAGGGAAAGAUUUAUUGGUAAGAGAUUAGCCUGUAUUGUAUCAGUUAGUUGGUGGGGUAAUGGCUUACCAAGACUAUGACACAUAACUGGUUUGAGAUGAUGAUCAGUCACACUGGAACUGAGACACGGUCCAGACUCCUACGGGAGGCAGCAGUGGGGAAUAUUGCACAAUGGACGAAAGUCUGAUGCAGCAACGCCGCGUGGAGGAUGACACAUUUCGGUGCGUAAACUCCUUUUAUAUGAGAAGAUAAUGACGGUAUUAUAUGAAUAAGCACCGGCUAACUCCGUGCCAGCCGCCGCGGUAA